CAGAUCAAGGUUGCAGUCUUGGCUUGGAUUGGUAGCCCUCAGUGACUGCUUGCCCGUGCAAAGCAUAACCAUAGGUUCUCUUGGGUGAUUGCUGAGCUUCAGGGCACCACUGGGACUGGUGAGAAGAGCCCUGAGCAAAGCAGAAAUCAAGCAGAGAGUCUGUCAGAUAGAUGAAGGGAAGAAGAGGAAGCAUUGGUGAUGUAUCUGAACAGUGUGCUGUCUGUUCCCUACUAGAAAGGAUGGUCCUAGGUCAGCAAUUGCAAAACAAGGACUGCUGUCUGGGAAAAUCCCACACACAGAGAGUGUGAGGCCUCCAUUCCAGCACUGGUCAUAAAGAGAAACUCAGCUUCAGGGCAUGGUGCCUGUCCACUAAUGUGCUCCUCUCAGCCAUGCGGGCAGGGAUGGGACAAAGCUCUGCGUCUCUGUACCCCUCGGUUUCAAAAGAAAAUCUAGCUGUCUUGGACAAGUUGGGUCCCACGAGGUCUGGGUCAACAGUGGUCAAAACUAAGAACAGAAAAGCAAGAAAAAGUACUGGAAGCUUGCUACUAAUUUGUGUCUGAGGCAGACCUGUGUCUUCUACACAGGGGCAGAAGCAUACCUUUGAGGUCAAUGGUUUUCUUGGUUUGCUGUUGAAGAGGAGAUGUCUCAACUGCCUUCAAGUAAAGGUCACCGAAAUAUCAAUAUGCUUCUAAAACAAAAGGACCAAAAGGCUCAGCUUUCGGCGUCAGUUAAAGUAUGGUGAUGCAAAUUGCGGAAAAUCAGUGGCCUGUAUCUCCAAGAGUUAUUUAAUAAUGAAUUUAUCAGUAGAAAAAUAAGAGGAUCUCUCUCAAGUAACUCAUACGCAAAGCAGCUGAGCCAAGCGCAGGGAGAGGCAGAGCUGCUGGGCUUAGAAGGUGAUGUUCCAAGGAGGACUGUGCCGAAAGAGGCAGGGGUGUAAUGUUCCCACGCUCCCCAAAGCCCUGAAAUGAUGUGAACACACCCAAAGUAUAGUGACUUCAGCCAAGAAGCCCAAAGAAGGUGUGUGUGGAGAGGACCCAACACGGAGGGUGUUCCAAAGUAGAAUAACCCAGACCAUAAUCAGUACAUGCUCAUAGUUUUAUCCCUCAGAAUCCAAAGAAAUAGGCAGAUAUUUGGGAUAAUUCUAACCAGUUGGUCCUCUCCUGGAUUAAAUUCACAGAAUCAGGGAAUGCUAUGGUAAAAAGGCCCUGGCUGAUGCACAAAUGAUGUGACCAUACCUCCAUGGUGGCCUGAGGUACAAGUAUUCAGGUUGCAUCCUAGAUUGCCCCUCACUCAUGUUCUCUAGAGCUCAGGAGUGGGCUCUUCAGUUCUGUGCAGGUGAGUGCUCUUACAACUUCAGUCACGGGCAAAGAACCUCAAAGAGUUCUGUCUCUUAUCAAAGCCCUAGGCUUUGUGUUUGCCUUAGUUUGAACACAGUUCCUCUGAACUCUCAUGAUUUACCUGUUGGAGUGCCUGGGCUCCUGAGAGAAAGGCACCGUUAUUCAUAAGGCGGCAGCCCACUCGGAUCACAAUGUGAACUCCUCUUCUUGUCCCACAGGCCUGACUGACAAGCGCUCAGUUUCAUCAGAAGAGGCUCUCCUGUGUGAAGACUCAAAUGUACUUCCUGGGUAAGGUGAAAUAGUGAGCUCUGGAGUCCAGGGACAGGGAGGUGGGAGGAGGGUCUUCCAGGGACCCUGGUGAGGGAACUGACCUGUGUAUGGAGGGACCCUGGAGUCUCCCUUUGUCCGAGACACACAGACUCGUAUCUCCUGAAUGUGACAAGAGAACACUUGCUUAGUGGCGUUUAAAACUGUCUGCUAAUACUCACCCAAUCCUUAUUUCCCCAAAGUUACAACACUUAAUUAAGACUUCCGAAAUCCAUGUGCAUGUGCCAUCAAAGCUAGGAUCCAUUCCCUUUGGAACCUGCCCUGUCCUAGAAACCAACACAUCUAGCUCAGGUCAACACUGCACAAGCAUCAAACUGGCUUCAGUUUUUAUUCAGAUUUGCGGAAGAAGUUGUUGAUCUGACCCUUACCUUUGUCGCUGGGAAAAUGAAAGACUGUUGAAGGUAUUGAAGCAGAGAACAGGCCCAAGUGCUUAGCAGAGUAAAGACCUUCAAUAAACUUUAGCAAUGGCUAUAAUUGACAGCAACAUUUCUUGGAAUGGCGUUGCAUGGAGAGCGGGUCCCUUGUUCCUCUACAACCUGGGUGGACUGUCCUUGUCCUAGAUAGCCCAGCCCAUAGGAACUGUCACUAGUAACUACGACCUUUUAACUUCCAGUUGGCUCAGUCUCAGCAAUCCUAAAUAGCCAGUGACAUCACAGUUUAUGCAUGAGCCACUGAUGAUGGGCUCUGAGUCCUAGCAUUCAGAAGUGGAUAGCUUGUUUGGGUCUUAGCAUAUAAAUGUAUGGAUAUCCAUAUUUUCACACACAUAGAUAAAGCACUAGGAUCUGGUUCUGUUGCCAGACACUCCUGGAUGUUACUGGUACACUACAUGGGGCUGUCACCUUGCUCUCAUGUCUUGUAUCCAUGUGUUCAAGUUUAGUUCUUUGCUGCCUGACUCUCACCACACCCUUAGCCGCUUCUUUCCCAGUCUACAUAUCUUCAGUCUUUGGCUCCACCGUGGACUGAACCAUCUCAACUGGUCCUAUGUUAAUACUGGCUUUAGGAUUGAAAGAAUUUCAGUAAUCUAUCUUAGCUGCACAUAAUAAUAGGGCUCAGAGUGAUAUAUCUACAUUUGUAUUCUGUAUGCAUUGAUCAAAUCAAACCGCCUCUCCUCCACCUGCCCCAACCUCUGGUAAUUAUUACUAUUGUGUUUUCAGUGGAGCUCUAAAUCCUCAACUUUUCCCUGAGUUUUCUGAGCAUCUUCACCCUUUCAUGUGCAGCCUUUAGAAUAUUUCUACUCUUGUCUUUUGUCAAAAUUAUCUUCUUUGAUGACAAUAAAAUCUGAAUCUGUUCAGUUAGCACUUCAUAAAAAUACUUCAGCGACCACACUUACCUUUGACCUUGAUCCCCCACCCACUAGCCAAACGUGCCAAUCUUUCUAAUGGCCUUGUGGUUGCUCUAUCUGCUUUUCCCCAGCACGUUUGUUUGCCACCCUCUAAGUUUAUGUCUGAUUGUUGCACAUGUUUUAAUAGUGUCUCUUGCCUCUGCUUUUUCCACACCAACUUCCUUCCCCUAAAGAUCCAGUAACGACUUUCCCUAUGAAACACUAUCACUCCCAGGGGAAUUAAAGAUAUCCUUUUCAUUUUUACUGCAUCGUUUUUAUCUCUGUGUCCUCUUUGUCCUACAAAGCAAGCAAUAAUAUUCUAUAAGGUUAGGGAAAAGUUGUCAUAUUCUGGGAAUAGAGGCAAUGUUAUAAGACGGUAAUUGAAGUUCAUAUAAAUGAGAUGCAGAAAGUUGUGGGCUCAACAAGAUGAUUCAGUAUGUCAAGGUGCUUUCUGGCAAGCCUACCAUGAGUUCAAUCCCCAGAACACAUAUGGUUGAAGAACUACUUCUGCCAGUUGGCCUCUGAUUACUACAUUCACAGACAAAUGAUAUAUAAAAAAAAUGCUUUUUAAUUGUAACUAUUACACUUCAUGUAAUGGGAUCCCUACGAUGGUGAAGAGAAUACUUCAAACUCACUGACUUCAAUCUUCCAUGACUUCCACAAAUACUUACUAAAUGCUUCCCACGUCCCAGGAACAUGUACAGUAUACAUGUAUCCAAGUAAGUGUGAGGGCUUAGGAAAUGGUGUGGAGAAAGGACUCACAUACAGUACAUGAAUGUGUAGACGGAUGUAUAAUCAGGGAGGAUUCUGCAUGGAGUGGGGUUCCUAGAGUUUUCAAAAUGAGGGAGUUCUCCCAGGCGUAAGAGGUGGCAGAUACACAGAUGGAACGGUCCCGAUGGGGGUGGCUGUGCAUGCCCAUCAGCACAGAAUUGCUGGUGGGGCUUAGUGUAGAAUAAAAGAGCUUCCUUUUGGGGUCUGUCAGAAAGGGGUGGUCAGGAAGGAGGAAAGCUGGUUUAGCUUCUGACUCUGCCCGCGGAGAGUGAAGCAGGGUUGGGUUCCUGCUCUGCUGUGUGGCUGGCUAUCCACCACCAAGGUCUCUGUCUCCCAUCUAUGUCGUUGGUUGGUACAGGAAGGAAGCUGCGCCAUACUAGUCCAUAUCUCUUUCUAACCUUUCUGUAUGAGGCUGGGUUUCUGCUAUUUCAACACAAAAGUAGUGUUCCUGCCGGUUUGUUAUCAGGAAACCUGCUCCCUUGGUUUUUCUGUCAUCUCCUCGUAACUUACCAUGGCUGGAUACAUUUGGGGCACAGCCUGUGCCGUUCUUUUUAAACUUUUCUUACACAGUAUUAACAACAUCCAGGUAUUCUGCGUGGACUUUGUGUGUUUGCUUGUUUAUUAACAUUAAAGUGGGGUGUAUCAUGUCAUGCAUGCGGAGAUCAGAGGACAAUUUAUAGGAGUUAGUUCUCUUCCACCGCGUGGAUCUCAGGUAUCAAACUCAAGGUAACAGGCUUGGUCACAAGUACGUUUCACCCACUGAACUCUCUUACUGGCCUUUUCCUUGUUUCAAGAUUUCUGAGCUGAAUACACGUUGUAUGAGGUGUGGGCCAUUAACUCAAAUCGAAGUACAUUUUCUGCUCUCGCAGAGGAGGGCAAGAGGGACACAGACACCCCCUGUGUCUGCCCAACAGUCAGUUGUGGGCACCUUCUCAAGCCCGAGGCUGCUGCCGCUCUCACAGCAAUCCUAUGGUUGUGAGAUCAAUUGUGAUAUCAGUUUUACAGAUCAGGACAAUGAGAUCUAGAGGGACAGAUCACUGUAGACUCGGUGGUCUCGGUCACUACAGCAAGAAGAAAGGAGCUUUGGAAACAAAGCCCAGGUGUAAAGCUCCGCCAGGGUGAGGUGAGGACUACUGGGGCAGCGGAAAUGAAAAUUAGGAGAUGCCUGGAUAGCAACACCCUAGCCCUCAAACGCCAUUAUGCAUUUUUCAUUACUAAUUAAUGCCCCACUUUCCCUGUGAUUCUACGGGGAUUGUGUUUACUCUUUUACAGUUAAUUAAACUAAUGCACUGCCCCUGAUAGCCAGCAAUUAUAUUACCAAGGUACUUUAGACGCAGCUGGCUCAACAGCCGCAACUAACAGUUCAGUUAUCCACACCGCUGUCAGCUGAUGCCCAGGCUCAGAGCUGAAAGAGAUGGCUUUACUGAUUUGCUUCUGAAGAACCUAGACCAGAGGACUGCGUCCUGGAAGCAGGUUGCCUCUGGAGGCGUGGUUCACACUGCAGCAAACUUUGACACGCCCGAGGAUUCCACCUCACUCCAUGCCCAGAGUGCCAACCAUGGGACAACUCCUAGCAACCCCUGGGCGCCGCUAUUCUUUAGAACUUCCCAGGAAAGGAAUCCUGUCACUUUUGCCAAGUUCCUCAUCCAUCCAGACACUUC